rnacentral:lncRNA from 1 species
CACUAGUGUGUCCAGUAAGCAGCUCUUUUCGCUAUCCUUCCUUCAUGACAACAUUAAAUAACUGCAGUUAUGAUACUGUCAAGCAAAAGUGUUGCACUAGAGGAUUUUGUUGACCACAAAGCAUAAUUUUCCUGUACAUUAUUUGCUGUGCAAUAAAUUUGCUUUUAUUUCUUGAUACCUCUGGUUGGU